rnacentral:rRNA from 1 species
UACGUAGGGGGCAAGCGUUGUCCGGAAUUAUUGGGCGUAAAGAGCGCGUAGGCGGUCCGAUAAGUCGGCUGUGAAAGUCAUGGGCUCAACCCAUGAAAGCCGGCCGAUACUGUCGGACUAGAGUUCGGAAGAGGCAAGUGGAAUUCCCGGUGUAGCGGUGAAUGCGCAGAUAUCGGGAGGAACACCGAUGGCGAAGGCAGAUCUCUGGGCCGUAACUGACGCUGAGGAGCGAAAGCAUGGGAGCGAACAGG